rnacentral:rRNA from 1 species
GACGAACGCGGCGGCGUGCCUAAUACAUGCAAGUAGAACGCUGAAGCCUGGUGCUUGCACCGAGCGGAUGUGUUGCGAACGGGUGAGUAACGCGUAGGUAACCUGCCUGGUAGCGGGGGAUAACUAUUGGAAACGAUAGCUAAUACCGCAUAAGAGUAGAUAUUGCAUGACAUUUGCUUAAAAGGUGCAAUUGCAUCACUACCAGAUGGACCUGCGUUGUAUUAGCUAGUUGGUGAGGUAACGGCUCACCAAGGCAACGAUACAUAGCCGACCUGAGAGGGUGAUCGGCCACACUGGGACUGAGACACGGCCCAGACUCCUACGGGAGGCAGCAGUAGGGAAUCUUCGGCAAUGGACGGAAGUCUGACCGAGCAACGCCGCGUGAGUGAAGAAGGUUUUCGGAUCGUAAAGCUCUGUUGUAAGAGAAGAACGAGUGUGAGAGUGGAAAGUUCACACUGUGACGGUAUCUUACCAGAAAGGGACGGCUAACUACGUGCCAGCAGCCGCGGUAAUACGUAGGUCCCGAGCGUUGUCCGGAUUUAUUGGGCGUAAAGCGAGCGCAGGCGGUUAGAUAAGUCUGAAGUUAAAGGCUGUGGCUUAACCAUAGUACGCUUUGGAAACUGUUUAACUUGAGUGCAAGAGGGGAGAGUGGAAUUCCAUGUGUAGCGGUGAAAUGCGUAGAUAUAUGGAGGAACACCGGUGGCGAAAGCGGCUCUCUGGCUUGUAACUGACGCUGAGGCUCGAAAGCGUGGGGAGCAAACAGG